GCGGCCGGCGGCUGUGGCGGGGAGGCGAGGAGCGAGCGGAGCAUCCAGCCCGGGUGCGAGCCCGGGGAGAGGAGGAGACUCCGGCUCAGAGCAUCAGGGAGACGGGGACGGGCAGCGAACAAACUCCGGGAGCGCCGCUGCCCGCGGCCGCCUCAUCCCUGCCCGCGGCGAGAGCGCAGGUGGAGCGCGGUGCCGCCUCCCGGCGCUGCCCGUCCCCUCCCCGCCCCGCCGGGCCCGGCAGCGGGAGCCUCCUCAGCCUCCCCUCGCCAUGGCGGGCUCUGCCUCCUCCUCCUCCUCUCCUCCUCCUCCUCUCCUCCUCCCGCAGCCGGGCCCCGGGGGGAAGCGCUGUCCGGGCGCUGUCGGAGCCGGAGCGCUCCCGAGCCCUGCCCGCCUCGCCUCCCCUCACGCAGGGCUCUGUAUUAAGGUCCGGUUACCUAGAACAUGCAAGAUGCCACAGCAGAUGGAUGUAUGCAUGAGAGAGGCUGUGAAGAGUGCCCCUAAUAUGAUUCCCAGAGAAUACAGCAUGCAGUGACCUUGGUGAGUAAUUGAUGAGAUCUCACAUAAGCACCUACCCUUUCCCUAUACAAUGCUGUUGCAGGAUCAUAUUUGCAAAAAAUGCCACAGCCAGCAUGAGCCACAAGCUCUGAUAGAUUCCAUUGUGGCAACAUAGGAG
rnacentral:lncRNA from 1 species